AGCAGCGGGCCCAGCCUGCCCCGCAACAGCCAGCGCGGCUCCUGGAGGGAAACGAGCAAGGCGGCCCCGCAGGUGUGGCGCGGCCCUGGGAGGGCGCGUGCGAGCGCUGCUUUGUUUGGUGCCCGCACAGCCCCGGGCUCCAGGCCUGAGCGCCAACCUUCCCGAGCUGAGUCACGGCUGCAGAGCCCGAGGGCGGCCAUACGGCCCCGCCCGGAAGGAUGAGGCCCCUUCCUGAAGCUGGCGAGUCCGAUGCGGUGGCAGGGACAAAAGCCAGGGGAAGGUGGCUUCUAUUCUACAAAGCCCUUUAGGGAAGGGGGGAGUCAGGCCGCCCUCACCCAGUGCAGGUCCGUCACGAUGGUCACCCAGAGCACUCACGCAGAAAGCCAGCUUGCAGCCGCCAGCCCUGAGGAUGCCGCCCCCAAAGGGCUCAUUGCUCUAAUCACCCGUCCAGGGGCUUGAGGCAAAGCUCCAAGACAGACCUGUAGCAGCAUGGCCCAAAAAGUUCCUCUGCUGCCCCAGUCCCAUACCUGCCUGAGGUACGGGGGUUCAGGCUGAGUCGGCUGACCUGGAGUCAUCUGGAAGCCUUGUCAGAAAUGCAGAUUCUGCAGUGCUGUUCCCAGAGGAUGAGAUUCAGCAGAACUGGGUGUUGGAUAUUAUAUGAAGAGAUUUGCAAGUGUUAUUUUACGUAAUUCGCACUUUACAAAGGAGGAAACUGCAGCGCAGAUUAAGCUCACUAAGACAAUAAUCAAAGACCUAUAAAACCGUGAACUUCUUGAGACAAUGAGGAUGCCUCUAACAGACUUGGGAAGAAAUCCUGCACAAAGAGCUGGGGAAAAAAGGGAAGAAAAGCACAUAGAAUACUCCUUCAAGGCAGGCAUUGGCAGACCUUCCACCGUGCACCAGGCUCUGUGCUAAGAUUCACCCUGGAGUAACCCUGCCUCUGGGGGUGAAGUUGCUAUAUCUGGCUGCGUUUUGGCCAGCCGACCCUCUAGGCAGCCCUUAAUUCUUGCUUCUCAAACUUACUUCCAAGGACAGAGAAAGAUGACCACUGCCCUCACCCCACUAAAGAAGCCCCAGCACUUAGCAAGCACUUAUGGCCCAGAGCAGACUGUCUCUACUUCAUUUCACUCUCCACACCCAGACUUGGACCACACUUGGAAAAGAACCAGCCAGUCCUGGAGGCUGCAUAUUGUGGAUAGCAGGACUCCACUCACAUCUCAAAGCUCCUCCCUGCCCAUUCCCAUGGUCCCUCCAGCCCUUGGGCAAUACUACCAAUAAGAAGGAGAAAUGAGCUGGAUUUCACUUCCUUUGGAGCAGGUGUGAAUAAACAGAAUUGUCCCAAACUUGGGCAGCAGAAGUGGGGAAAGAAGAAAGGCAACCGGCCAGGCGCGGUGGCUCACGCCUGUAAUCCCAGCAUUUGGGGAGGCCCAGGCGGAUCACCUGAGGUCAGGAGUUUGAGAACAACCUGGCCAACAUGGUGAAACCCAUCUCUACUAAAAAAAUACAAAAAUUAGCCAGGCAUGAUAGCUACUUGGGAGGCUGAGGCAGGAGAAUCUCUUGAACCCGAGAGGUGGAGUUUGCAGUGAGCUGAGAUCAUGCCACUGCACUCCAGCCUUGGUGACAGAGCGAGACUCCAUCUCAAAAAAAAAAAAAAAAAAAAAAAACCAGAAGAGAGCAACCAAUACUUAUGAAGCCUCUGAUAGUUACUCAAAUGCCACCAGUAAACCCACGAGACGCACAGGCUGGGAUUGGUAAGGCAACUUGCCCAAGGUCACCCAGCUAGAAAAGGCUAGAGGCGGGCGAGAGGGGAGCUCCAGAACCACCCCAAACACACUGCCUCCCCCACACCACUGCCUCCCCAACACUGCCUUCAAGAAAGAGAAAUCGAAGGACCUGGACAAUUUGCAAGCUGACUGCUCAGCUUCUGGACUCAUCCACCGCGUUUGUCAGAAGUCCCUGCAGAUGCCCGGCCACUAUGCCAGUACUCUCGUCUCGGGCUGCACUUGGAACUGGGUGGACAGCUGUAGAAGGACUACUAGUGCCUGGGCCCACCCCUUCUCCCCACCCCCAGUGCCUCACUUAACUGUCUGAGAUUCAGCCUAAGCACUGGGCUUUUAAAGUUCCCAGGUGACCGUUGCCCUCCGGGAUCCAUAUUCUCUUCAUCUGUAAGAUGGGGCUAAUGAUGUCUCCCAAACAGGGUGGUUGUAAGGAUGAAGUGUGAGGGGCCUAGGAAGGGAGGCCUGGAAAGAGGGAAGAGGACUGCUCAUCGCUGGGCUGAGGCUGCAGCCACCCUGUGCUAGGUGCUGUGCUACAGCCUGGGUCACUCUGCCAGGACCUAUAGGCUCCCUGCUUGGGGCAUGGUGCCCUGACCCUCGGCUCACGUCUGCCCAGAUCCUUACAGCUGAUGGAACCCUUUGCUCCAAGAGACGAGGUUGGCACACCGUGGUCUCAAUAAAUGUUUGUCGAGUAAACAGAUGAAGAUGUCCUUCGAUCUUCACAACAGUUUUGAGAAGCAAAAUGAAAAAGGACUCUCCCUUGACCCAAUAGAAAGGGAAGUUUGGACUCACCUCAAGGUGCUGUCACUAGCCAUGUGUUCCAGAGCAGCAACAUAACUUCUCAAAGCCUCUGUCACUUCAUUUGUAAAGCAGGACUUUGUCACUAUUGCUAGGUUAUAGGACUAUCCUGAAGAGCUGCUGAGACAACAUACGGGGGAAACAUUUCUAUAAAUUAUUUUUUGAUGAGGGAAUUGAGGUUUAUAGGGGUUAAGUGACUUGCCCACAGUCAAUCAGUAAAUUGUGAAGCCAAAACUUAAACUCGGGACCAGAGAGUUCCUGGGCGUGAGACAAACAAACGAACAAACAACAACAACAACAACAAAACCCCAAAACACUCAAAUAAUAUGUGGUUGCAGAGAAGGGAUGCAGAUAUUUGAAGAACAGACCUGAGGCUGUGUCAGCCCCCAAGGCACAUCUGAUGGGGAGUGUGUUGAGUUGAACUUUGCAGGAGGGAAGGGCUAGGCCUUUGGUAAAGUUUUUUUUUUUUUUUUUUUUUUUUUGAGACAGGGUCUCCCUCUAUCACCCAGGCUGGAGUGCAGUGGCACCAUCAC
rnacentral:lncRNA from 1 species